ACGAGUUAAAAAAAUCGUUAACUUGCCCAGCCUUGCAAAAUGAUUUGUAAUAUUAUAUUAUAUUACAAUAAUAAUAUUCAAUAAUAUUUUGUUUUCGGAAUGGCGACGUUGUAUUUAAAUUCAUUCGGAAUCGUGUAUGUACUUUUGAAAUUUGCGGAAUUGUAUAUUAUGUAUUUCAAUGGUUAUUAAAAUCAACACGAUUCUGCAAAUUUUCGGAAUCGUGUUAUAGCUACAGUAACGCUCUCCGUGUCACACAAAAUUAUAGAAUGACCCCCAGCCAUAAGACUUAUACAUGUCAAAAAGGAGAAGAUGGUUAAGUAUUUCAAAAAAAUUAAAAUGUUGAUGUAGAUAUAUUGUGUAUUUAUAAACUAUUUUAGCCAUUGAGAAAGUAUCUCUGAUAAGUAAGAUUCAGUGACCCAUGAAUGAAUCUUUAGAGAUUAUAUAACUAUUAAAUUAUUACAUUUUUUAUGGUACCUUCUAAAAAUGUGUAUUAUAUUAUUUUGUUUGAAUAAUUUUAAAAUAUAAUAGAUAUUCUGAUUGAAUAUGCUAAAUUUCAAAAUAAUAAACAUGCUAACAUAAAAAACGUGGAAUUUGAAGCUAACCUAGAUAAAAAAAAUUGCAAAUUAGUAUAAAACUAACCAUGCACAAAAAUCUAUUUCUAUUUUUUAUUUAGCAACAACACGGAUUUAUUUACUUUUCAGUUGAUGUUCAUUACCGGAGACUUCUUCAAGAGAUAAAAUAGUAACUAAUAUCUGUAUAUCGUUAACAGAACACACUGUAAUUGGUGGUGGUUUGUAUAUUUUUGGUAUUGUUUUGAUGAAAUUAUUGUUAUCUGUUUCUUUGAUACGUUUUUUGGGUGGGCUUACACUAGCUUCUGAGCUCUGACCCGUUAUUUUAUGUGCAUUUGUAAUGUUUAAGUUUAAUUUAUAUUGACUCAUACAUUUUCAUUAGCGAUAGAGAAAACUUAAGGGGUCCAUCUUAUUGAACACCACUUUAAAUUUCAUAUUGUAUUUUAUUGUUGUAAUAAUAACUGGUAUAAUAUUUUUUUUUCGCAGACUAUAAGAUCAAGGGUAUGUAUAAUUUGUAUAUUUUAUGUGUUUUAUCAUUUUUUUACUUUCCCUUCUCUUGGAAUUUCCAUAUGACCAAUGGGAACAUACUUCCAAAUUCAUUUUUGUAUUCCACAAAUAUAUGGAAAUAUAGUGUACAAAGUAAUGCGAGUUCUAUCCAAAUCAAAAGAACAAAAUAUAAUACCACGAAAAAUAUAUGUUAUGUUAAGUUCACGAUUUAAUAAUGGCAUAUAAAUAUCAAGAUUUGUGUAUCAUAAUAUAUAUUAUAAUUUAUGACAUGUAAUAUUAUGAGCAUAUUUUACUGUAAAUGAUUAUCAUCAGACACGUUACAUAACAUUUACUUAAUUUUUUAAAUUUCUGUCAGCCAAGAUUUACCUUAACAGGUAACGUCACAGCAGAUUAUCAGAAACGCCUUUACCUAUCUAGGAGUUAAAAUAACUAUAAUUCAUAAACUGAAAUUUAUGGUAAAAUAUCAAGAAAAAGUACUAGCAUUAAAUGCAGAUACCGAGAAAACAAUUUAGUCAAAAUACCCAGUAAGCUAUUGAUGUCUAUAAUACCACUUAUAUUGUCUGUAUAUAUUAUUACAUUUUUAACUCUUUAUUAUUGUAUGAAUUAAUGUAAUUAUAAUAGGCGGUACUAUUAAUAUAUUGUUAUCAAUGGACAAUGGCAAUGACAUUAUAUUGUUAUUGCAUAAGUUUUUAAUAGUUAACUAGGUAGAACAGAAAUAUUAUGUGAUAUUGCUACUACUUACUAGCUGACGUGGAAAUGCGUUGCUAUUGAUAGAUUUUUGAAAUUAUGAGAGUUGUAUAAUAUCAGUUAGGCAAUCUACCGGCGGUAGAUCACGGACUCUGCGUGGUGCAAGUGCAUAAUUUAACUCUAAAGUAUCAAAAAAUACAAACAAUUUGUCCACCGAAACCGUAGUUCAAAAUCGAUACAUUCUGUACUAAAAUAAAUAGGAUUAGCGCAUUAAUAAUAAUAAUAAUUUUUAUUAAAAUCAAUGGGUCAAUAUGAAUGUGAUCAUUCACAAUACACCAAUACAAACAAUUAUAAACAAAAAAUAAUAAUUUUAAUAAUAUUCUCAAAAUCCCUGUUUGAGAACUGCCCAAGGUUGGACCUCUUAUUUACCAUUUUUCGUGAAAAAUGUUCUUCCCCAAAGUAUAUUCUAUCUCUGCACCAAAUUUCAUUUUCGUUUAAGUAAAGGACACAGAUUAGUCGAGUACACAAAUGUUUGUCUUUUAUAAUAAAAUAUCUGAUCCCACGCACUUCGUUUCCCGACAACCAAUAAUUAUUAUUAUUAUAGCUUGAAAACCCAUGGUAACCAUUCAUAAACAAAAUUGUCCAUCGGAAAUCUCAAAAUCCCCGUUUGAGCUCCACCCGGGGUUGGUCCUAUCAUUUUUGAAAAUAGCUUAUCUUCAAUCUAAUAUAUCUAUGUACCAAAUGAUCCCGUUCACUUCGUUGCCUGCAACCAAUAAUUAUUAUUAAAAUAGCUUCAAAACCCCAUAGGUUAACCAUGACAACUCAGGCAGAUAAACAUUCAUUUCUCUCCCAGAGUUGGUUGCCAUGGUAAUGUGGACACACAAAUAGACACACAGAUACAUUCAUUUUAGACUCUGAGCAGAACAAUGUUGUUUAAUUUUUUUUUUCUUUUGUCCCGUGUACAAAAUUUCUACCAUAAGCAGUUCUUCAAUUUGAACAUGUAUUGUACCAUAUCUUUUUGAAAAUUGGAUCAAGAUGAUAUUUUAGAGAGGUCAUUUUUCGAUUUUCUCAAUAGUUAUUUAAUGCCACCGGAAAAACCACCGAAAAAUUACGAAA